GUGUCAGCCGCCGCGGUAAUACGAAGGGUGCAAGCGUUACUCGGAAUUACUGGGCGUAAAGCGUGCGUAGGCGGUCUGUUAAGUCCGAUGUGAAAGCCCUGGGCUCAACCUGGGAAUGGCAUGGGAUACUGGCGGGCUGGAGUACGGCAGAGGAUGGCGGAAUUCCCGGUGUAGCGGUGAAAUGCGUAGAGAUCGGGAGGAACAUCCGUGGCGAAGGCGGCCAUCUGGGCCAGCACUGACGCUGAGGCACGAAAGCGUGGGGAGCAAACAGGAUUAGAUACCCUGGUAGUCCACGCCCUAAACGAUGCGAACUGGAGGUUGGGUGCACUUUGGCGCUCAGUCUCGAAGCUAACGCGUUAAGUUCGCCGCCUGGGGAGUACGGUCGCAAGACUGAA
rnacentral:rRNA from 1 species